rnacentral:rRNA from 1 species
AAGCCCGGAGAUGGGUACUGAGACACGGACCCAGGUCCUAUGGGGCGCAGCAGGCGAGAAACCUUUGCAAUGUGCGCAAGCACAACAAGGUUAAUCCGAGUGAUUCCUGCUAAAGGAAUCUUUUGUUAGUUGUAAAACCACUGAUGAAUAAGGGGUGGGCAAGUUCUGGUGUCAGCCGCCGCGGUAAAACCAGCACCUCAAGUGGUCAGGAGGAUUAUUGGGCCUAAAGCAUCCGUAGCCUGUCCUGUAAGUUUCCGGUUAAAUCCAUUUGCUCAACAAAUGGGCUGCCGAAAAUACUGCAGGACUAGGGAGUGGGAGAGGUAGACGGUACUCGGUAGGAAGGGGUAAAAUCCUUUGAUCUAUUGAUGACCACCUGUGGCGAAGGCGGUCUACCAGAACACGUUCGACGGUGAGGGAUGAAAGCUGGGGGAGCAAACCGGAUUAGAUACCCGGGUAGUCCCAGCUGUAAACGAUGCAGACUCGGUGAUGCCCUGGCUUGUGGCCAGUGCAGUGCCGCAGGGAAGCCGUUAAGUUUGCCGCCUGGGAAGUACGUACGCAAGUAUGAAACUUAAAGGAAUUGGCGGGGGAGCACCACAAGGGGUGAAGCCUGCGGUUCAAUUGGAUUCAACGCCGGAA